CAGGCGUCGACGGGUAGCCGGCCUGAGAGGGUGGACGGCCACAUUGGGACUGAGACACGGCCCAAACUCCUACGGGAGGCAGCAGUGGGGAAUAUUGCACAAUGGGCGCAAGCCUGAUGCAGCGACGCCGCGUGGGGGAUGACGGCCUUCGGGUUGUAAACUCCUUUCAACCAUGACGAAGCUUUUUGUGACGGUAGUGGUAGAAGAAGCACCGGCUAACUACGUGCCAGCAGCCGCGGUAAUAC
rnacentral:rRNA from 1 species